rnacentral:rRNA from 1 species
AAUGAACGCUGGCGGCAGGCCUAACACAUGCAAGUCGAACGAGUGGCGGACGGGUGAGUAAUGUCUGGGCAACUGCCUGAUGGAGGGGGAUAACUGCUGAAAACGGUAGAUAAUACCGCAUACCGUCGGAUGAGCCCAGUUGGGAUUAGCUAGUUGGUGGGGUAACGGCUCACCUAGGCGACGAUCCCUAGCUGGUCUGAGAGGAUGACCAGCCACACGGGAACUGGGACACGGUCCAGACUCCUACGGUAGGCAGCAGUGGGGAAUAUUGCACAAGGGGCGCAAGCCUGAUGCGGCCAUGCCGCGUGGAUGAAGAAGGCCUUCGGGUUGUAAAGUACUUUCAGCAGGGAGGCGUUACCCGCAGAAGAAGCGCCGGCUAACUCCGUGCCAGCAGCCGCGGUAAUUC